AAUCCAUGCAUAAAACACUUUCACAACAAUUCUUUAAAUCUCUCACAUGCUUCAUACAAGCUUUCAUCUUCCAACUACUUGAAUGAAGUUAAAUUGUUUUGAAGCUU